rnacentral:rRNA from 1 species
GAUGAACGCGGGCGGCGUGCCUAAUACAUGCAAGUCGAGCGAACGGACGAGAAGCUUGCUUCUCUGAUGUUAGCGGCGGACGGGUGAGUAACACGUGGAUAACCUACCUAUAAGACUGGGAUAACUUCGGGAAACCGGAGCUAAUACCGGAUGAUAUUUUGAACCGCAUGGUUCAAAAGUGAAAGACGGUCUUGCUGUCACCUAUAGAUGGAUCCGCGCUGCAUUAGCUAGUUGGUAAGGUAACGGCUUACCAAGGCAACGAUGCAUAGCCGACCUGAGAGGGUGAUCGGCCACACUGGAACUGAGACACGGUCCAGACUCCUACGGGAGGCAGCAGUAGGGAAUCUUCCGCAAUGGGCGAAAGCCUGACGGAGCAACGCCGCGUGAGUGAUGAAGGUCUUCGGAUCGUAAAACUCUGUUAUUAGGGAAGAACAUAUGUGUAAGUAACUGUGCACAUCUUGACGGUACCUAAUCAGAAAGCCACGGCUAACUACGUG